AUGUUGCUUCCAUUUCCUGAUUCUUUUCCAUCUUGGAAGUCCUCUCCUGAGCAUAUUUCCUCCGUAAUAUUUCCGGUUUGCAGUUUAACCGACACACUUUCGCCGUUUCCGGUUUUUGAAGUGACGUUCCCGGACUCAGAAGUGACGUUUCCGGUUUCAGAAGUGACGUUUCCGAUCUCAGAAGUGACGUUUCCGGAUUCAGAAUUGACGUUUCCGGUUUCAGAAGUGACGUUUCCGGUUUCAGAAGUGACGUUUCCGGUCUCUUUAACAUUGUUUUCCUCUUCUGGUGCUUCGCUGUCUCGGAGGUCCCCUCCACUCCACAAUUCGUCCUCAUGAUUUUUGGCUCGUUGUACUUUUGGAACACUUCCGCUUCCGCCAUUUGCAAUUGCGUGGGCUACGUUCCUGUCGUUGAUUUCCAGUGACAACUCACUUUGUGAUGGCGCAUUGUUUCCGGUCUCUCUGUAUUUGUAUCGAGCUGAUAGAACGAGAAGUAGGACGAUAUCAAACAACAUGAGUCCAGCGUAGAACAAGAAUUGGAAGGUCUGUAACAUUCGACACAAUUUUUCAAAUUACUUAUUCAGGUCAACACAGGUUUGCUUCACAGAGAUGAAAUAAUUUUGAUUGCACGCGUGAAACUAGAGACAGGAGAUCCUCUGUCGCUAUCUUAACAAUGGUGGAAGCUUUUAUUUUCGGGAAUCGAACCUUCAACUUUUGACCUACCUACUUGAUGAGUGCGGUUAACAACGUGUUGGGGGUUUCGUUUUCCAAACAAACCGAAGUUUGGGGAAUUUGUUUGGCUCAUAUAUUGUCACCCAAAGCUCAUCAUCCACCUAGUAGAUAAGUUGACCGUUGCUCCUUUAUACUGCCGUCGUGCAAAGGAAGAACGCCGUAUGAACCUUUAGGCGUUGCCAAAUUUCCUUCGACGAAAAACGAAUUUCAUAGUAAACUUAUGAAUAUUGUUUCUAUCGUUAUCGUAUAUCGUUGUUUAUAUUGGUAAUAUCGUUU
rnacentral:lncRNA from 1 species